rnacentral:rRNA from 1 species
UCAAGCUACAAAGAGCACAAGGGGAAUGCCUUGGCACCGAGAGCCGAAGAAGGACGUGACUAACUGCGAUAAGCUACGGGGAGCUGUAAGUGAGCGUUAUAUCCGUAGAUUUCCGAAUGGAGCAAUCCGAUUAGAGGAAAGUCUAAUCAUCAUAUACUGAAUACAUAGGUAUAUGAGGGGAACCGCCUGAACUGAAACAUCUAAGUAGGGCGAGGAAGAGAAAUCAACUGAGAUUCCGUAAGUAGUGGCGAGCGAACGCGGAAGAGGCCAAACCUAAUGUAGUAAUAUGUUAGGGGUUCGGACAGUAUAAUGAAUUGUCGAGAUUUAGCCGAAUGUCAUGGGAAGGGCAAUCAAAGAAGGUGAAAAUCCUGUAGGCGAAAAGUUAAGACAUCAGACUGUAUCCAGAGUACCGCCGGACACGUGAAACCCGGUGGGAAUACGGGGGGACCAUCCUCCAAGCCUAAAUACUACUCGAUGACCGAUAGAGAAGAAGUACUGUGAAGGAAAGGUGAAAAGCACCCCGGAAGGGGAGUGAAAGAGAACCUGAAACCUUGUGUUUACAAGCACCGAAAGUUCAUCAACGAACGAUCGGGUACCUUUUGUAGAAUGGUCCGGCGAGUGAAUGUAACUGGCAAGGUUAAGCACUUAAGGUGUGAAGCCGUAGCGAGAGCGAGUCUGAAAAGGGCGCAUGAAGUCAGUUGUAUUCGACCCGAAACCGGGUGACCUACCCAUGUCCAGGCUGAAGUGCAGGUAAAACUUCAUGGAGGGCCGAACCGACUCCCGUUGAAAUGGUAGCGGAUGAGGUGUGGGUAGCGGAGAAAUUCCAAUCGAACCCGGAGAUAGCUGGUUCUCUCCGAAAUAGCUUUAGGGCUAGCCUUGGAAUAGAUUACUGGAGGUAAAGCACUGAAUUGGCUAGGGGCCGAGAGGUUACUGAACCUUAUCAAACUAAGAAUGCCAGAUAAUCGUUUUCCAGGAGUCAGACAGUGGGAGAUAAGUUUCAUUGUCAAAAGGGAAACAGCCCAGACCUACAGCUAAGGUCCCAAAGUAUAGUUAAGUGGAAAAGGAUGUGGAAUUGCAUAGACAACCAGGAUGUUGGCUUAGAAGCAGCCACUCAUUAAAAGAGUGCGUAAUAGCUCACUGGUCGAGUGAUUCUGCGCCGAAAAUUUAACGGGGCUAAACUAUACACCGAAGCUUAGGAUACCGCAAGGUAUGGUAGGAGAGCGUUCUGUACGGAGUGAAGUCGUAGCGAAAGCGGCGGUGGACUGUACAGAAGUGAGAAUGCCGGAAUAAGUAGCGAGAAUUAAGUGAGAAUCUUAAUGGCCGAAAGUCUAAGGUUUUUGGAGGAAGGUUCGUCCGCUCCAAGUAAGUCGGGAGCUAAGGUCAGGCCGAAAGGCGUAGCCGAUGCACAAACGGUUGAUAUUCCGUUACCGUCUACAAUUUAAACAAGGGGACACAUACAAAGCGUUUAACCCGGGCGAUGGUUGACCCGGGCGCAAGGGACUGAAAUAAGAGUAGGGAAGUAAAUGUGGCGUAUGGCGAGAAAAGCUUUGUGUAUAGAAGUAGACGCCCGUACCGCAAACCGACACAGGUGGACAGGAAGAGAAUUCUAAGGCCAGCGGGAGAAGGGUAGUUAAGGAACUCGGCAAAUUGACUCCGUAACUUCGGAAUAAGGAGUGCUCGAAAGAGCCGCAGAGAAUAGGCCCAGGCGACUGUUUAGCAAAAACACAGGUCUCUGCCAAAUCGAAAGAUGAAGUAUAGGGGCUGACACCUGCCCGGUGCCGGAAGGUUAAGAGGAGGAGUGCAAGCUCCGAAUUGAAGCCCCGGUAAACGGCGGCCGUAACUAUAACGGUCCUAAGGUAGCGAAAUUCCUUGUCGGGU